AUUGAACGCUGGCGGCAGGCCUAACACAUGCAAGUCGAGCGGCAGCGGGAAAGUAGCUUGCUACUUUUGCCGGCGAGCGGCGGACGGGUGAGUAAUGCCUGGGAAAUUGCCCAGUCGAGGGGGAUAACAGUUGGAAACGACUGCUAGUACCGCAUACGCCCUACGGGGGAAAGCAGGGGACCUUCGGGCCUUGCGCGAUUGGAUAUGCCCAGGUGGGAUUAGCUAGUUGGUGAGGUAAUGGCUCACCAAGGCGACGAUCCCUAGCUGGUCUGAGAGGAUGAUCAGCCACACUGGAACUGAGACACGGUCCAGACUCCUACGGGAGGCAGCAGUGGGGAAUAUUGCACAAUGGGGGAAACCCUGAUGCAGCCAUGCCGCGUGUGUGAAGAAGGCCUUCGGGUUGUAAAGCACUUUCAGCGAGGAGGAAAGGUCAGUAGCUAAUACCUGCUGACUGUGACGUUACUCGCAGAGGAAGCACCGGCUAACUCCGUGCCAGCAGCCGCAGUAAAAC
rnacentral:rRNA from 1 species